AAAUUGAAGAGUUUGAUCAUGGCUCAGAUUGAACGCUGGCGGCAGGCCUAACACAUGCAAGUCGAGCGGUAGCACAGAGAGCUUGCUCUCGGGUGACGAGCGGCGGACGGGUGAGUAAUGUCUGGGAAACUGCCUGAUGGAGGGGGAUAACUACUGGAAACGG
rnacentral:rRNA from 2 species